GUCCUUAUAGCUUAAUGGCAGAGCAGGAUACUGUUAAUAUCAAGGCGAAAGUUCGAUUCUUUCUUGGGACU